rnacentral:rRNA from 1 species
AUUGAACGCUGGCGGCAGGCCUAACACAUGCAAGUCGAACGAGUGGCGGACGGGUGAGUAAUGUCUGGGAAACUGCCCGAUGGAGGGGGAUAACUACUGGAAACUGUAGCUAAUACCGCAUACCCUCGUAUGUGCCCAGAUGGGAUUAGCUAGUAGGUGGGGUAAAGGCUCACCUAGGCGACGCUCCCUCGCUGGUCUGAGAGGAUGACCAACCACCCUGGGACUGAUCCACGGUCCAGACUCCUACGGGGAGCCGCAGUGGGGAAUAUUGCGCAAUGGGCGCAAGCCUGUUGCAGCCAUGCCGCGUGUAUGAAGAAGGCCUUCGGGUUGUAAAGUACUUUCAGCGGGGGGGCGUUAACCGCAGAAGAAGGACCGGCUAACUCCAAUCCAGCAGCCGCGGUAAUUC